AAAAAGGAAGCCAAUACUUCCCAGUUUUGCUCUAAAUGCCGAUUUUUUUUUUUUUUUAGAUAUUUAAAAAUCACUCUAUGUUUUUGUUUCCCUUCUCAUUGCCAUUAUAUUUAUUCUGCUGCUCUCAUUCCUAACCAACUUCCUGUUCCAAAUCUCCACUCUAGGUUCACACAGAUCUGGCCCUUCCUUUCCUGGAGCCUGUCCCACAGUGAUGGGACCCGACUGCCUCCUGGGCACCACACAGUUCCCUGCAUUUCAGAAUCUCAGUUGGAUCCUGGAUAGCUGGACACAACUGCUUCCCUGCCCUGAAACUGGAGCAAGAAGAGCCAGGACACCACCCCCGUGCCCUGCUUGUCCUGGCAGAGGGAGAGGAUGCUGUUUGCCUGAACGUUCCCUUCAGUGUGCAGCAGGUCUAAAGAUGUGACAACCACUUUGAUAUGUCCUCUGACAUUCUGUGUGACAUAGCCCACUUGGGAAUUUGCAGCCCUGAAGAUUUGCCACUUACAAGGUUCCUGCAGGAAACACACAGAAGAAUAAAACUUUGGAUUAUGCCUGUGAUGGGAAAAGCUGCAGCGAUGACUGACUGGAAAGGCUGAUCCUUCUCACACCAAAUACCACUGCCUUGCCACCAGAUGGAGGGAACACGUUCAGCUGCAAAACCCAAAGCACAGCCCAGCAGGUCCCGAGCUGCGACAGGAGCGGCUCUGCCCCGGCACCUCUGGAGCCUCAGCCCGGGACUGAGCCCCAACUUCAGCUUCUCCACUUCAAACUCCUGGAAAGAUGGGAAGCCCUUGAGCCCUUGAAGGCUGUGAGCCACUUGACCACUGCUCUUCACUGGAUAACCCACUCCUGCUUGUUUAUCUUUCCUACUUUUUCAUGCUCUGGACUAUCAAUAAGAAUUACUCAAAUUAUUCAAAGCUCAUCCCUGAGAGAAAAGCUGUAGCUGAAAGCCCAGGGCUGGGAUCACCCACUGACUCCACGUGAGCAGGUUUUGAUGGAGGCACCAGGGAAGUGUCAACUGGAUGAGGAGAACCAGGAGUCCUU